rnacentral:lncRNA from 1 species
UUUUUUAUAAAGUGCAAAAAGCAACCGAAUUAAUACCAGGGGCGCAUGGCUAAGCAUCGAUCUGGUCACUCGGCACGUCAUUUCGUCAAAACAACAUCUCAUUGCAGGACGGUAGGCCUCGUGGGACCCACCCGUCAGCUAUACACGGGGGACAACGGCUUCCAGUCCAGAUUUCAGACAGCCCUUCCAUGGAUCGGAUCAAAAUAAUACGCAGGGCAAUGUGCCUACGCGUCUUCCUUGUACAUGUGUGCACUAGAACGUGCAGCAGUAGCUACAGCUAAGCAGAGUUCGUUCAGCCUUCCCCCAACUACACUAGAUUAGCAUUAGUCAAACCAAAUCUCCCUCCGGUGGAUUUGUUUACACGUAACUCUACACUCGGGUUAUUCGUUCUUGCCGCCCGCCGCUCUUGCCGGACGGCGAGCAGGCCAGGCCGGCGGCUACUCGGCAAUGGCGCCGAGAUCAGGCACGAAGUCGCGCCCGAGGCUGGGGGCCCUCCGCGACCGCCGGCGGGACGCACCCUUCACGCCGCUCCUCGCCGCGGGGGCGCCGCUGGCCGAGUCGGGGAACACGAGCGGGCCGUCGUGGUCGCAGGCCAGCGCGGCGCUGGCGCGGAUCGCGAGCGCGGCCAUCUCCUCCGCCUGCAGCGGCCGGCGCCGCAUCGCCGCGGGCAGCACGAAGUAGAGCUGCCCGGGCUGCAGCUCCUCGUCGGCCGCCACCGCGGCCACCGCGCCGCCGAGCUCGAGCCCGUCGGCGCUGCACAGGAAGCACGCGCCCGCGGGCGCCGCCGUCGCCGCCGCAGCCGCGGCCUUCAUGGCCUGCGACGCCCGGGUGCCCCCGGGGAACCGCUGCAGCUGGCCGUCCGCGAGCACGACCCGCGCCGCCGUGGCCUCGCCCACCGCGGAGGCCCCCGUCACCGCCGCCACGGCCGUCGCCUCGCACGAGUUGCACGCGCCCAUGGUGAAGAUAUUAUAGUAGUAAAAAUCGCCGCCGAGGGUUAUUAAUCCGAGGUGAAGAGAGGAGCAGAGCUCGAGCUGCGCGCGCACGGUGGU